rnacentral:tRNA from 1 species
GGAGAGAUGCGAGAGCGGUUGAAUCGGGCGGUCUCGAAAACCGUUGAACCCGCGAGGGUUCCGGGGGUUCGAAUCCCCCUCUCUCCG